GCCUCGGUGGCUCAGUGGUAAAGCGUCUCACUCGUACUAUUGUCCGCCAUGAGAAGAUCGGGCGUUCGAUUCGCCCUCGAGGCA
rfam:Colletotrichum orchidophilum strain IMI 309357 Scaffold_12.1, whole genome shotgun sequence.